CACACAUUUACUUAAAUCCCCUUUCCCACUGGACAGCCAGCUCCUUGGGGCAGAGACCUGUCCUACUCAUGUCUGUGAUCACAACUGCCUGCAUAUUUCAUCCUCACAGGAUGUUUGCCCAAGACUUACGAAACUGCGAUCCAAGGCCACCCAGGUGCCCUACUUUGUCAUAGUGUGAGUGAGAGGAACUUGCCAGGGAUUGAAAACUACAGAACAUAGCUGUUUUGGAAAGAAUUGGAUUUGAAGGUAUUACACCCAUCCACAUCUGAUGCCAGAGGAGCACAUGAGCCACGCCUCUGCCACAGAGAGCUCCGUCCCAGUGGGUGAUAUAUUUUCUCUGAACUAUUCCUGGAAAAUAUUCCAGAAGACAAAUCAGCAACAGGAUGAAAGAGGCUGAUCCUGAACUCAUGGGCUCCAACGACCCUCCCACCUCAGCUUCUUAGUACCUGGGACUACAGAUGUGUCCUCGCGUACCAGGCAAGAGCUGGCUUUUGUAUGGUCGCUCCUAAGUGUCAGUCUUCAUGGUGAUCACUCCCCACACACAGAGGCUUACCCAAGGACAAAAGAUCUGAAGGCAGAGGGUGUACAACUAACCUCGGACCAAAGGGAGUGCUGUGGUCCAAGACAUACAUUCCAACAAGGGAUCGGGCAGGGUCCUUCAAAGUAUUUCUGUAGAGGAGAUACAGAUACAGACCCAG
ensembl:lncRNA